CAGAGCUGAAUCGAUGUCAUCCUGAAAGCAACAGUACAGUUAAGGCAGAAGCCCAUGUUUAACUGUAUCUCCACAAAGCUGGGCCAGUUCUGCAGAUGAUCAGAGGGACUUCGCCAUCAUCACAUGCCUCAUUGCUGCAGUCAGACUGAAACAGGACGGUGAUGCAUGGCAGUCCAUGCCCGAGAUACGGAUGAUGAAGAGACCACAGCAACAUCUGGUCCAGAUGAGGACACAAGGGCAGGUGGACUGAUGCAGGGUCUUGUUCAAUUCACUACAGGAGAACAGGAGUGGCCAAACUCAGUCCAGAACUGCUGCUGUCUUGCAGAGUUUACUUGAAGUUGACUCUAAACUCUGCAGGACACCAGCCGUCCAGAACUAAGUUUGGGCACCCCUGCAUUACAGCAUUUCCAGGAUGCUGCUGUGGACUUUUUUGCCCUCACCACACACACCAAUCUGCAGCUAUUUCAGAUCAUACAAAACAUUAAAAAAAAAAAUAAAAUAAAAAACAGUCAUUUUACUGCACAAUGUGUCAUUUGAUUUCUGUAGUGCUAGUAAUAAAAUUAUCCUACCUCUUAUUUUGAAUUCUUUUUUCCUCAAAUGUGUUAGUUCCCUUGUAUACAG
rnacentral:lncRNA from 1 species